rnacentral:rRNA from 1 species
CCUACGGGUGGCAGCAGUGGGGAAUAUUGGGCAAUGGGCGCAAGCCUGACCCAGCAACGCCGCGUGAAGGAAGAAGGCUUUCGGGUUGUAAACUUCUUUUGACAGGGAAGAGUAGAAGACGGUACCUGUCGAAUAAGCCACGGCUAACUACGUGCCAGCAGCCGCGGGAAUACGUAGGUGGCAAGCGGUGUCCGGAUUUACUGGGUGUAAAGGGCGUGUAGCCGGGUUGACAAGUCAGAUGUGAAAUCCUGCGGGUUAACCGCAGAACUGCAUUUGAAACUGUUGAUCUUGAGUACUGGAGAGGCAGACGGAAUGCCUAGUGUAGCGGUGAAAUGCAUAGAUAUUAGGAGGAACACCAGUGGCGAAGGCAGUCUGCUGGACAGCAACUGACGGUGAGGCGCGAAAGCGUGGGGAGCAAACAGGAUUAGAUACCCGAGUAGUC